GGUAGAUUGAGCCUCACACUGGAAAAUUAGUAUGAAGUUAUGCAACCCUGGGUUGCAUGACUUUAGGAACUUCUGGUAAUUGAUAUUUAUCAAUUGGUGUCAGCAGUCCAGAAACAUACAAAGCAGCAAAACGAAAUUUGAGAUACAGAAAUUUCCACAGGAAUAAAAGUCGGCUGAAUACCUAGAAUGCAUUUUAAACACACCUUCUAAAAUCUGCAUCAGCUGAUUGCUUUCUUCAUCAUUACAAUUUAAAAUCACCUCUUGACUAUGUUCAUCAUUCACUGAAAUUAGUUCAAAGCCCCCUCCUUGGAUUAAUGACUUCUCCUUGCUUUGUGCUGUGCCCUCCUUUCUUUGAGAGAUAAAUAGAUUUUUAAUGAAGAUGAUCACUUCUCAGCCUUUUUGGCUAAGAUCAAGAGUGGUAUCAAUGAGGUUCUCAGAAUAUGUACAACAUUAUUUGAGAAAAUAACUGUUGAGAAUACAGUUGCUAAAGCCAGAAGUUGAAAAUAGAGAAGGUAACUUCCAUCAUGUUCUUGAUGCCUUGGCACCAGUUAAGCAUGGACUGAAUCUUCUGAAACAGAGUCAAGUUAAGCCUUUCCUUCUGAAGUUGUGGAUCCUGAGUAUUAUAUACGAGCAAUGGUCAUGCUAAGUGAUAGAUUUACCACAUUUCAAUACUGAGCUCUCAGGAAUGCUAUUUGGUUCUUUAUACAUAAAAACUUUCAUACAGUUAUACACAUUUUAUAUUUACAUUAGAUAGUAAUCAAUUCAUGAGAAUGCUUAAAACCUUUUAUUGCAUUGCAGUUAAAAGACUGAUUGCUGUAAACUGCAAGUGUCAACUUAAGUCAUUUCUUUGACCUCUCUGAGUCUCAGUUACUCAUACAUAAAGAAAAACAAUAGGGUCUCUUUUUUAGAGUUGUGGUGAAGACUAAAUAUAAACUUCUGAAAAUGGUGGGUGACAUUGUUAAUGCAGCAUCUAAUCGCAAGGUAAUAUCUUAGGAAAAUUACAUAUUUAUUCAAUGUGUAUUUGAAUAAAUAUUGGAAAAAUUGCAAUACAAUGUUCAGUGUAAAUUAUUUCAUAUGCUUUAUAUCAGUUUACUGAAUCAUUAGAAAAAAAAUUUAACUCUUCUUUUAAAUUCCUUUUUUUCUCCUCUGGUUUGUAGUUUCUUCAAUUAAUAGGGUGGCUUCUUAUAUUGGUAAGAGAUUGUCCUACAAUUAGAUAUGUACU